rnacentral:rRNA from 1 species
GUCUAUGGCCAUGCUAUCCUGAACAAGGCCUACCCUGUCUGAUCUCAGAAGCUAAGCAGGGUUGGGCCUGGUUUGUACUUGGAUGGGAGACCACCUAGGAAGACCAGGUGCUGUAGGCA